AUGCGAUCCUCGAGGCCAUUUAUUUUUACGGCAAAAAUGAUUAAAUUAUUAAGUAUUUCACAAAUGUAUUGUGUAUUUGUAAUUUACUUGAAACAUAAAAAUCACUGAAGCAGAUAAAUAGCAAAAUAAUUUAAAACAAAUCUUCGAUAGACUCUUAGGAUUUUUUUCCAAGAAAGACCCAAUCCUGAUAUGAGAACAUAAUAUUUAGAUAGUUUUUAGUAGCUGAGGCCGUUCGGGACCAAAAAUUAUGGCACCCCUGUUCAAAAAUCCUGAUUACGUGCCUGCGUGCUUGCCUUAGAAGCUGCGUGUCGACGGAAUAAUAAUAAUUCGAUACAACUCGAAUACAAUUAAGACAUUUUGAGGCGUCUAAAUAAAAGUUUUUUUUAAGUAUUUCCGUCUAAUCAAUUAAUUUUGAUCGAUUAACUCGUGUUAUUUUUAGUUCAAUUUUAACUUAUUUCCUAUUGAUUAUAUAGUUUUUUUGAACAACGUUGUAUAAUACUUGCACGAAAUACGAUACAGUCAGCGCGCUGCCCGUAGAGAAAAUAAUUAACGAUGGUAAAGUAAUAAAAAAAAAAAAAAAAUAAAAUAAAAAAAGUAUCGCAAUUAACUUAAUUAACGAAUUAACGAUAAUCGAUUGAUAAUAAAAAAAAAAAAUAUAUAUAUAUAUAUAAUGGAACUCUACAGGAAGUGAACGUUUUUAAGCCGGUUUGACGAAAUAUUAUCAUAACGUGUAAGUUAUUAUUGUUAUAACUGCGGUGAAAAUUACACGCUAUCGGUUUUAUGGCGAUGUAUUAUUUGUCUUUCGGUAAACAUUAUACUUUGUAAUUAAUCAGUAUAUUAUAUUAUGCUUAAUAAUCGUUACAAUAUAUUUUUAUAGAUAGGCGAACACGGACGGUGAUUCAUAGUGGUCCCGGUAUCUAAUGUCUCUCUCAAGGGAAAUCGCAGACAAAGUAACGUUGACAAUUAAAUGUAUGUCCGUUAGAUAAGGUGUAAAUCGAGUGUGCGAGCCCGACCCAAUAACAAUAGUAACCAGGCAAUCCAUCGCUGUAUACCGAUUUCAAGUUCUAAUAUUAUUAUGUACAACCUGACGGUACAUACAUUACGUAUUUAGUCGUAGCAAAAUCGCGUUUAGCAGGACGACGCUCGUUAGUUUUAAUAUUCGAGAUUAUUACCGAACAUAAAUGUAUACGAACGUUAUCUUACGGGAUCUUACGGCGUGGUUUUCGGUCGACGUUUUAACUUUUAACCGAGUUAUAGGCAUUAUUAAAUUGUGAUAGUUAACAUGCUCAGAUCUCGUUUACACGUUGAAAUAUCAAAAAUAAAACCGACCUAGGAACACUGUAAAUAAUAUUCUUACCGUCAAGUUUAGUAAUUAUAUAUAUAUAUAUAUAAGUUUAGAAGGAAUUUUCUUUAAUAUUAAAACUAACAGCAUACAAUUUAUCCAACCGAACGAAAAUUUGAUAUGCCGGGCGUUUUUUAAGACGCAGACAAUGAAUAUGAUGCUUGUGUAGACAUCCAGUCAAUUUAAGAUGUAUAAACUAUAUAGGUAGGACUUUUACAAGUGCCUUUACACAGUGUCUUGACACUUUUACUAAAUGAAACCCCAGUCUUCAUUGGAUAAG